rnacentral:snRNA from 1 species
GGCGCCGGUGGCGGCACUCCCGCCGCGCCGGGACGGGGUUCGACUCCCCGCGGCGCC